rnacentral:lncRNA from 1 species
GAAUAAGCCAGCAAAAUUGCCUUGCCUCUCUGACAUAAAACCAGUGAAUCUCACUUAACUGAACCGCUUUUGGGAGGACAGUUGUAGCAUUCUCAGCUGCCAAUCUGAUGAAAACAAAUGCCACGGAUGGGAAUAAGAAAGUCUUCUCUUUCUUGGAGAAAACACCCAGCGACCAACAGCAACUCAACUACUAAAAUCAUCCGCUUUCGUUUUCAGCCCCUGGGGGCUGAGUGGUGUUUUCUUGCUUCGGUCCAAACAAUUUGUACACCUGUUGAAGAGAAAAUAAAAUCUGACGGCGGUACAAAGUCCGGGGGAUUAACGCGAUUUGCGCUGAGCUCUUAAAGCCGAGAUAAUUGCGGGUCUCGGUUUCUUCUUUUGUUCUGCAGAACGGCAUCUGAAAUUUGACAAGCAAGUCCUCUCCCCACACCCCCUUUUUUUUUGUUGUUGCAAGGGACCGGGUGGAGAUUUCACCAGAUCUCUCCCUUUCUGCGAGGCUGCGUCUUCCUUGGAAUUCUCUGGUCUCACCGGGCUUCGCGGCAUGUGGUCAAGCAAGGCUGGCUUACUUGGCUGGUUUUGGAGCUACCUUUGGGGGCGUGCUCUUUUACCUCGUUUCCCAAUCCUGAGAUCAGGGGUGCCCGGGUGGUUCCAUCAGUUAAGCCUCGGACUCUUGGUUUCGGCUCAGGUCGUGAAUUCACGGUUCACCGGUUCGAGCCCCGCAUGGCGCUUUGGGCUGGCAUCACAGAACGUGCUUGGGAGCCCCUCUCUGCCCCUCCCCUGCUCGUGCUCUGUCUCUCUCAAAGUAAAUAAAUAAAUUAAAAAAAAAAAUAACCGAAGUCUGAGGUCAGAAAUCCGGGAGGAUGAGAGGGAAGAGAGGGCUGAAGCUGGUGAGGAAGCCUACACGGCUUUUCAUAAAUGUGGCCGAAGUGACUUCAGAGAGUCCCUUUGCCCUCCCAGGGUCUGUGUGUCAUAUACAUUCAGGCUCUGAUUUGCUAUACUUCUCAAGCUGAACGUAUGCUACGGGAUACCUUUGAUGUUGCCAUAAUUGUGUGUGGGAUCUUCAAUCAUGAUGUCAUCAAAUUUUAUUAAACUUAAUAUGGAUAAAACC